rnacentral:rRNA from 1 species
GACGUAGGGUGCAAGCGUUGUCCGGAUUUACUGGGCGUAAAGCGUGCGCAGGCGGUCUGUUAAGACCGAUGUGAAAUCCCCGGGCUUAACCUGGGAACUGCAUUGGUGACUGGCAGGCUUUGAGUGUGGCAGAGGGAGGUAGAAUUCCACGUGUAGCAGUGAAAUGCGUAGAGAUGUGGAGGAAUACCGAUGGCGAAGGCAGCCUCCUGGGCCAACACUGACGCUCAUGCACGAAAGCGUGGGGAGCAAACAGG